rnacentral:rRNA from 1 species
GACGAACGCUGGCGGCGUGCCUAAUACAUGCAAGUCGAGCGAGCGGAACUAACAUAUUUACUUCGGUAAUGACGCUAGGAAAGCGAGCGGCGGAUGGGUGCGUAACACGUGGGGAACCUGCCCCCUAGUCUGGGAUACCACUUGGCAACAGGGGCUACUACCGGAUGAGAAAGCAGAUCGCAUGAUCAGCUUUUGAAAGGCGGCGUAAGCUGUCGCUAUUGGAUGGGCCCGCGGUGCAUGAGCUAGUUGGUAAGGUAAAGGCCUACCAAGGCGAGGAUGCAUAGCCGAGGGGAGAGACUGGUCGGCCACAUUGGGACUGAGACACGGCCCAAACUCCUACGGGAGGCAGCAGUAGGGAAUCUUCCACAAUGGACGCAAGUCUGAUGGAGCAACGCCGCGUGAGUGAAGAAGGUGUUCGGAUCGUAAAGCUCUGUUGUUGGUGAAGAAGGAUAGAGGCAGUAACUGGCCGUUAUUUGACGGUAAUCAACCAGAAAGUCACGGCUAACUACGUG